CUGUCGGUGUUAACUGGCAUGUUCUGUGGAACGUCCUGCCGGUGGCGGUCCGGGCUCUCGUUCUGCGUAAGGGUAACUCCCGAAGCAGUUCGAACAGUUCCGGCCGCCGGUUCAAUCCCGCCACGGUGCUCUUCACCGAGUGUCGAGGUGGGCCGGCACUUUUACUUUGAACAAAUUAGAGUGCUUAAAGCAGGCGGUUUCCGCCUGAAUACUGUGUGCAUGGAAUAAUGGAAUAGGACCUCGGUUCUAUUUUGUUGGUUUUCAGAACCCGAGGUAAUGAUUAAUAGGGACAGGCGGGGGCAUUCGUAUUGCGACGUUAGAGGUGAAAUUCUUGGAUCGUCGCAAGACGAACCUAAGCGAAAGCAUUUGCCAAGUAUGUUCUCGUUAAUCAAGAACGAAAGUUAGAGGUUCGAAGGCGAUCAGAUACCGCCCUAGUUCUAACCAUAAACGAUGCCAGCCAGCGAUCCGCCGAAGUUCCUCCGAUGACUCGGCGGGCAGCUUCCGGGAAACCAAAGCUUUUGGGUUCCGGGGGAAGUAUGGUUGCAAAGCUGAAACUUAAAGGAAUUGACGGAAGGGCACCACCAGGAGUGGAGCCUGCGGCUUAAUUUGACUCAACACGGGAAACCUCACCAGGCCCGGACACCGGAAGGAUUGACAGAUUGAGAGCUCUUUCUUGAUUCGGUGGGUGGUGGUGCAUGGCCGUUCUUAGUUGGUGGAGCGAUUUGUCUGGUUAAUUCCGAUAACGAACGAGACUCUAGCCUGUUAACUAGGCGAUUUCCGGUACCCACAAUAGUGUUACCGGCGAUUCAAUUUCUUCUUAGAGGGACAGGCGGCUUCUAGCCGCACGAGACUGAGCAAUAACAGGUCUGUAAUGCCCUUAGAUGUUCUGGGCCGCACGCGCGCUACACUGAAGGAAUCAGCGUGUCUUCCCUGGCCGACAGGCCCGGGUAACCCGUUGAACCUCCUUCGUGCUAGGGAUUGGGGCUUGCAAUUGUUCCCCAUGAACGAGGAAUUCCCAGUAAGCGCGAGUCAUAAGCUCGCGUUGAUUACGUCCCUGCCCUUUGUACACACCGCCCGUCGCUACUACCGAUUGAAUGAUUUAGUGAGGUCUUCGGACUGGUGCGCGGCUGUCGGGUCUCCGGCAGCCGAUGUUGCCGGAA
rnacentral:rRNA from 1 species